UAACUACGCCACUAUUUGGAAAACCACGAUUUACACUUGCGAAGAUUCUAUGUUUGUAAAUUUUGCAAGACAGGCUGUAUGAUAUUAGUUCUAGCAAAAACCACAGGUGUGUAGACAGGCCGAAUGAUAAGCAACCACUGCUGAUAAAGAAAUCAAUGGCUUAUCAGCUGGAAUUCUGGUGAUUUCUAGGGACUGUAGAAAUGGCUGCUGUAUUCCUGUUGGAGGAGAAAGCUUUCGUGUCUCAAAAGAAAUCCUUACAAAUGUAUGUGCCAGACUUGUGUCAUUACACAAUAAGGAAACAGCCUGGAGUAGUGAAAUCAUUUGAUAAAGCUUUGGCAAAGCUGACAAAAAGUUUAGUUGUAAACGAAAAAGCAGACUUGUAACCAAUUCACUGCUCAUACCUGCAGCUGUUUCAGCCAGUGCUCCAACAUAUAUAUUUUGAUACCAAUUUUGAUUUGUCAUUGUUGUAUCAUUGUAUGAAAAUACUACUUUAGGAAGAAACACAAUUAUGACAUAAGACAGAGUAAGUGAAGAAGCAGCUGCAGAACUAACAACAGAAUAUAUUAAAAAGAUGCAAGUAGAAAGGUUUGAGCAAAAGCAAAUGUAAACAUGUCGGAAACAGAAAAUACAGAAAAAUAAGGGACUGAUAGCUUGGAAACCUAGAAUACUGAAGAGGAUAAUUAUAUCAGGUACAUUUUAUGAAACUCUGGUGAAGAGUAAUUUGAAAGAAUGAAGAAUUUACCCUGAUACUUGGCAGAUCUUAAGACUGUGAACAGAUCCAGCUUAUAAAACAGACAAAAAGGAAAGUGGAUUUGAAGAGCUGCAUGUUGUAACUGAAAAUGCCAAAGUUGAACCUGAUGAUUCUUUGACAAAAAACAGGCACCUGGACUUCACCUGUGUAACAUGUGUAAUGAAACUUUACUAUGUAAUUGUGGACUGGAAAGCUGAUAUGCUUCUAGAAUAAUAUUUCAGAUCUGAAAUCAAAAGAAAAUAGAAGCUGUAACAACACAUUGGGAAAAAGGUUCUUCAAGAAACAAAUUAAGGUUGGAAAGGUCCAUGAUAAUGUAGAAGUUGACCAUAUCAAAAAACUAAAUAAUUGUCUGAUUUAAUAUUAGCGACAUAAGUUAAAUAUGUUGAAGGUUGAAUGCAAGAACCUUGGUAGACAAAAGAUCUGACUCUAGUCAGAAGAAACAUUGAUAAAGCCAGAAUAAAAUCCUGUGAAAAAAGAAACAUAUACAGACCAUUUUGUAUGCUGGCUGUAAUGUACAAGUUUUAACAUGUUUAAAGGGUAAUAUUCACAAUCAGAAAAAAGAGAAAGAACACAGCUAAGUUGCCUGUAACUUCCAAGAAACAGAAACAUGGAGAACAGAAAACUAAUAGAACAUCUUGGUCUUAAAGCACAAGCAAACAAAAAACAACAUGGAAAUCUGAAACAAAAUGCAUGUUUAUUAAAAAAAAAUGGAUUUUUGAGUGUUGCGAAAAGGGAAGAGAAACUGAAAGAACUUCGACAAUGCCUAGCUUCUGUUUUGAUUUACCAUGUCUCAAGAUGUGAUACAUUAUAUUAUUUUUCCACCUUGACUGAAUAUACAAAUUUUGUGGAAAAGCAAGAAACUUGAAGAGAAAUGUGUUUGAACUAUUUGAUAAACUGUUUGAUUUUGUAGUUUGUGAAAGGGACAAAUCAGGAGUGACAGUGUUAUUUUGUUUUUAAGACACAGAAGAAAAGGUAAUGUGUUGAAAAAAUAUUGUUGGAGACACACGGUCAAGGUAUUCUUCAGUCGUUUAGAAAGUGGUAAGUUAGUAGAUGUAUAGAGAAUUUUUGUAUCAAUUUGUGUUUAAUAUCUCUCACCAAGUGAACAGAAAAUGCAAUAUUUUCAUGAGUGAAGUAUAACAGUCAAAAUGUACAAUGUAGUUCUUUAGGUUAAAAGAUCAGAUUAACUUAACUUGGGAGUUGAGGAAAACUAAAAAAGUAAUACUAUGUACAACAAAAUGAUAUAUGUUGGUGCUGUUUUUUAUUCAGUUCAUGGAAAUAGUGUGUUUUUAGUAAGAUAGCAGUUGCAACAAUGCAACUUUUUAUGCCUCUGCUAUUAAAUAAUAUUUAAAAUUACUAGACAUACAGCAACAUUUUUCGAUAUCUGCUUUUAUACACACUACAGAACAAUUAACUCGAGUGGCUCAGUUACAUAGUUGCAAUUGUAUUUUUAAAAUAAUACAAUAUAUACAACAAUUUUAGACUUAUCGUUCAACCUCUUUGUUGUUGAAAGUAAUAAUGACCUUGAAUGUAUAGGCAUAUCAACAAAACUACAUGUUGACCUCAACAUAAUUAUGUCACUUAUUGUAUAAUAUACAGUCUAAA